UCAAUCCAAAUCUCACAUCCUGAUCCUGAUCCGGCUUUCACUCUCCUUAUUACAAGAUCGUCCAAAAGUAUGGUUUUUUAUUUUGAUUGGGAUCCAUUGCAUAUAGCUUGGAACGAUAGUCAGUGAUUUGAAAUAGCAUGAUGAUAUUUGCUCUCAGAUAUAGUGUAAGGGUUGGAGGCCUUGCAAGGCCAUUGGGGGUGGUUGGAUGGUCAAACAACAUUCGGCCGAUUUCUUCUCAGCAGGUUAAGAUCAAGAGAUUCAGGAUUGAUAAUGAAAAAGAAGAAGAAUCUCGUAAUGUGCCACCAAUGUCAAAAGAAAUGACAGAAUAGAACUUUCGGUGGAUGCUAUGGAGAUAAUAAUUCGGCGGUGAACUGCAACCCAUGGCCUGAGAUGCUCAAAUGCAAAUGGUUGGGAAAGCACAUAUAUAUAUAUAUAUAUAUCCUAAAUUGCAUAAUGAAUUUUCCUCUCAGAAGUGGUGGUGCACACAUCCGGUGCUAGCUAGGUCCCCAAACAGAAAGACAAACUAGCUCGCUAAAACAGCAUGUUACUAGGUGUGAAGUGGCAACUAGAUAGAAAGAAAGACAUUGAUUUAUUCAUCCAUUAGCUGUUUUUUCUGAUCACUGUUGUCCCAUGUUAUUGUGGACUUCACAUAGCUACCUUUUGCCUGACCAACCAAACCUAUAAAUACUACUAACCCCAUCAUACCAAAGAGAACAACGACAACAUAUCUUUUAUUAGUACUCUGCAUUCUGCAUCCAUAAAACCAAUCUUCUUGUCUACAUUCAUUAAAAUUUAGCAGUGGCUCAAUCUAGCUCUACAAAGAUGGCCUUCUUCUUUGUUGCAAUGAUCUUCGUGUUUGUUGGUAUGGUCUCUGGGCAAGACGCUCCAUCACCUGCACCUUCAAUGGAUAAAGGUUCUGCAUUUGGACUUCAACUUACAAAUGUUUCUGUGUUUGGCUCUCUACUACUGUCUCUUAUUACUCUUUGUUUGAAGCACUGAGAUAACAUAAAAAUUGAUUACAGACAAUGUUUUAUACCAAGAUUGAUCCUGUUUUUUCCUUUCAAACAUUGAUUUGUUCCUUUUGAUGGUCUGUAGACUGUAUUGGUUUUGUACCUAAAUUAUUUGUACAUUAUCAUUGAUUUGUAACCAAAUAAGGAUUCAUUACUUAUCCAUAUUUGUACAUUCGUACACAUUCUUCCCCUACCAGUACCAUUAGCUGUUGAAUUGAUACAUACAACCUCCCACCCACUUUCCUGUAGGGUCCACACGGUUAAGACCAAAAACCUAUAAAUAUCACGUCCCAUCAAACCAAAUGUUAAGCACAAACAGCAAUCUUCUCCUGUCACUCUUUCAAAAAAAAAAGAAACCAAUUUCAUUCUUAAUUUUUUAUCUCUGCAUUAAUCAUCCUAAUGGCUAAAUCUAGUUCUACGAGAAGUGCUUUCGUCUUCGUCUCAAUGAUCUUCGCGUUUGUGGGUAUGGUUGCUGCACAAGACGGCAUGGCUCCUUCACCUGCACCUUCAAUGGACACAGGUUCAGCUUAUGGACUUCAACUAUCAAAUGUUGGUGUCUUGGGUGCUCUUCUAUUGUCUUUUGUUACUCUUCUUCUAAAGCACUAAAUUGAUCCUCAACAAUGUUUUGUAUGAAGAGUGUUUCGUUUUUUCCCCCUUUCAUACAUUUAUUUUGUACCUAAAUCAUUUAUAUA